GACGAACCGUGCGAACGUUGUUCGGAAUCACUGGGCUUAAAGGGCGCGUAGGCGGCUCCGCAAGUCGGGGGUGAAAUCUUUCGGCUUAACCGGAAAAGUGCCUCUGAUACUGCGGAGCUCGAGGGAGGUAGGGGCGGACGGAACUUCCGGUGGAGCGGUGAAAUGCGUUGAUAUCGGAAGGAACGCCGGUGGCGAAAGCGGUCCGCUGGCCCUCUACUGACGCUGAGGCGCGAAAGCCAGGGGAGCAAAGCGGG
rnacentral:rRNA from 1 species